rnacentral:rRNA from 1 species
UACGUAGGUGACAAGCGUUGUCCGGAUUUACUGGGCGUAAAGAGCGCGCAGGCGGUCGAUCAAGUCGAGUGUGAAAGCCCCCGGCUCAACUGGGGAGGGUCAUUCGAUACUGAUCGACUCGAAGGCAGGAGAGGGUAGUGGAAUUCCCGGUGUAGUGGUGAAAUGCGCAGAUAUCAGGAGGAACACCGAUGGCGAAGGCAGGUCUCUGGGCCACUACUGACGCUGAGAAGCGAAAGCAUGGGGAGCGAACAGG